AUUGAACGCUGGCGGCAUGCCUUACACAUGCAAGUCGAACGGCAGCACGGGAGCAAUCCUGGUGGCGAGUGGCGAACGGGGGAGUAAAGUAUCGAAACGUGCCCAGUCGUGGGGGAUAACGUACCGAAAGUUACGCUAAUACCGCAUCCGAUCUAUGGAGGAAAGCGGGGGAUCGCAAGAGCUCGCGCGAUUGGAGCGGCCGAUAUGAGAUGAGGUAGUUGGUGGGGUAAAGGCUCACCAAGCCGACGAUCUGUAGCUGGUCGGAGAGGACGACCAGCCACACUGGGACUGAGACACGGCCCAGACUCCUACGGGAGGCAGCAGUGGGGAAUUUUGGACAAUGGGCGAAAGCCUGAUCCAGCCAUGCCGCGUGCAGGAUGAAGGCCUUCGGGUUGUAAACUGCUUUUGUACGGAACGAAAAGGUUUGGCCUAAUAAGCUGAGCUCAUGACGGUACCGUAAGAAUAAGCACCGGCUAACUACGUGCCAGCCGCCGCGGUAA
rnacentral:rRNA from 1 species